rnacentral:rRNA from 1 species
AGGUCUACUUGCCAGCAACCCCCAAUUUUUACAGGUUGACCUCGGAUCAGGUAGGGAUACCCGCUGAACUUAAGCAUAUCAAUAAGCGGAGGAAAAGAAACCAACAGGGAUUACCUCAGUAACGGCGAGUGAAGCGGUAACAGCUCAAAUUUGAAAGCUAGCUCUUUUAGGGUUCGCAUUGUAAUUUGUAGAAGAUGCUUCGGGUGUGGCCCCGGUCUAAGUUCCUUGGAACAGGACGUCAUAGAGGGUGAGAAUCCCGUAUGUGACUGGGUGCUUUCGCUCAUGUGAAGCUCUUUCGACGAGUCGAGUUGUUUGGGAAUGCAGCUCAAAAUGGGUGGUAAAUUUCAUCUAAAGCUAAAUAUUGGCCAGAGACCGAUAGCGCACAAGUAGAGUGAUCGAAAGAUGAAAAGCACUUUGGAAAGAGAGUUAAACAGUACGUGAAAUUGUUGAAAGGGAAGCGCUUGCAACCAGACUUGCGCGCUGAUGAUCAUCCGGGCUUCUGCCCGGUGCACUCGUCUGCGCUCAGGCCAGCAUCGGUUUCGGUGGUGGGAUAAAGGCCUUGGGAAUGUAGCUCCUCUCGGGGAGUGUUAUAGCCCUCGGUGCAAUGCCGCCUACCGG